GCUCUAUGAAUGGUUGUCUAUUAACUUGUUCAAAAAGUAUCAGGAGUUGACAAGGGCUCUGGCGAGGAGGGAAACCGAGUUUGUGUUGAUUCUUCAAGACUAAGAAAAGAAGUUUGUGGGCACAACAGGACCUAAGAGCGCUUACCUCCUCAGCAAAGUUACCAGAACUGUGGAAACGAGGACUGUGAGCGACACCCACAGCGUUUAAGUUUCUUGCCUCCUUGGGGAGAUAAAACGGCCCAAAUGAAAUGAAGACGCACGUCAAGUAUUUUUUUCUACUCAAGCAUGGCGGUGAUAAUUGGAUUGUGUGGACACCUGUAUGAGUGCAGUAUAUCCAGGGGAUUAGAGAACGGGAUGGCUUUUGUAGGUUCUGUCCAGACCUGUGGGCUGAAUUCUCCUGAUUCGUCGUCUCGCGGAGGACCAGAUCUGCACAUUUGGGGACGUCGGUGUCAGCACACUUGAAGCAUCAACUUUGACCUCGCAGUAAAUGCAUAGUUUGGAGCCGUGCUAAAAUGGUCGUGCAUAUGGAAUUUACUAAUGCCAUUUUGUUCUGUGUGACUCAUUUCACCAAAAUAAACUUCAA
rnacentral:lncRNA from 1 species